AUCUCAUAUCUAAAUUGAUGCUAAAUGAAGCAAAGUUGUGCUACGUCAGAUAAGUUUUCCAAUUCAGUGUUAAUCACUUUGUUUUUCUAUGUAUUGUCAGCUGACAAAGUAUUAACUAGGAUAUCGAUUGAUUCCCAGAUUCUGACCAUAGUGUCAUGUUGUGUUAUUUGCCUUUUUUUUAAAAAAAAGCAAUAAUUGGCCUAUUUGAAGUAACAAUAUACCGAUUGAAUUAAUGGUAAUGAAUGCACGGAGUCUUAACCAUACUAUACUACUCCCU
rnacentral:lncRNA from 1 species